CCGCUCCCCGCCGGAGCCGACCGCGGCCGCCGCGCCGCCGCUGCCAUGUUUGCGGGGGCGGGGGAGCGGGCUUUCCCGUCACCGCGGCAACCGGCGCGGCGCCGGCCGGGCCCUGACAGCGCCCGCGGCUCCCGGUCCGGGGGAGCGUAGGGCCCCGUCCGGGCCCGCCGCCGCAGCGCCCCUCUCGCUGCUCCCGCCAAAGCCUCGGCUGCCCGGGAAUGCCGCUGCCCUCGGAGCACGAGGCCGGCGUGUCCGACUAAGCCCCAGCCCCAGCAGCUCUGCUUGUCUCUCAUCCGGUGGAGGACUGGGUGGAGUUGCUGACUGAACCAGACUCUCGGGAGACAGAAAGCAAAAAUGAGAAAGAACCUGUCCCAGAGGAAUAGGCACCUCGGCCCAUGGAGAGGGGCAUACAGCACAGAGCAUCCACCGUGCCAAUGCAAACGCAAGGCUCUGAGGUCACAGCUCUGAGCAGACAAGACCAAGGACCAAAGGCACAACUGUCCCACGUCCAAGGGCAACCCUGACCAGGAAUGGGUGGCUGUCUGCUCACAGAGCAGCUACACAUGGUUUGAGUAACCAAGGUCACUGAGUUGGACUCAUGACCCAGUGAUUGGAGUCCUCGCCUUACUCUGAAAGGAAGUAGCAAUCAUCCCAGGCACUUACAAGACUCUUUUCUCUCUCGCUCCCCCACCAUAUGUAAAAAACAUGCUUUUGUGACCAGGUAGACACCUUCUAUUCUUCUGAGAAAAAAAAAGAAAAAAAGAUUAAAAAAGCAAACAUGCGUGCAGUCUUUCAUAUCCAUCA